rnacentral:rRNA from 2 species
GUUUUGAAAAGCUUGCUUUUCAAAACUUAGCGGCGGACGGGUGAGUAACACGUGGGCAACCUGCCCUUGAGACGGGGAUAACUCCGGGAAACCGGAGCUAAUACCGGAUAACACAUAUCUUCGCAUGAGGAUAUGUUAGAAGGUGGCUUUUAGCUACCACUCAAGGAUGGGCCCGCGGCGCAUUAGCUAGUUGGUGAGGUAACGGCUCACCAAGGCGACGAUGCGUAGCCGACCUGAGAGGGUGAUCGGCCACACUGGGACUGAGACACGGCCCAGACUCCUACGGGAGGCAGCAGUAGGGAAUCUUCCGCAAUGGACGAAAGUCUGACGGAGCAACGCCGCGUGAGUGAUGAAGGUUUUCGGAUCGUAAAGCUCUGUUGUUAGGGAAGAACAAGUAUCUGUUGAAUAAGCAGGUACCUUGACGGUACCUAACCAGAAAGCCACGGCUAACUACGUGCCAGCAGCCGCGGUAAUACGUAGGUGGCAAGCGUUGUCCGGAAUUAUUGGGCGUAAAGCGCGCGCAGGCGGUUCCUUAAGUCUGAUGUGAAAGCCCACGGCUCAACCGUGGAGGGUCAUUGGAAACUGGGGAACUUGAGUGCAGAAGAGGAGAGCGGAAUUCCACGUGUAGCGGUGAAAUGCGUAGAGAUGUGGAGGAACACCAGUGGCGAAGGCGGCUCUCUGGUCUGUAACUGACGCUGAGGCGCGAAAGCGUGGGGAGCGAACAGGAUUAGAUACCCUGGUAGUCCACGCCGUAAACGAUGAGUGCUAAGUGUUAGAGGGUUUCCGCCCUUUAGUGCUGCAGCAAACGCAUUAAGCACUCCGCCUGGGGAGUACGGGUCGCAAGACUGAAACUCAAAGGAAUUGACGGGGA